GCCCAGCACGUCCACGCCUGCUUUUUUGAGCUCGUCCAUGUUAUCGCGUAAGCCGCAGGCCUGCACGGUACAGCCGGGUGUCAUGGCUUUUGGGUAGAAAUAAACCAGAACGCGCUGUCCCUGGAAGCAGGUCAUAGUGAUCCGGUGGUUCUGAAUGGAAGGGCCAUCGCUCAACGGAUAAAAGGUACUCCGGGGAUAACAGGCUGAUACCGCCCAAGAGUUCAUAUCGACGGCGGUGUUUGGCACCUCGA
rnacentral:rRNA from 1 species